rnacentral:rRNA from 1 species
GACGAACGCUGGCGGCGUGCCUAAUACAUGCAAGUUGAGCGCUGAAGGUUGGUACUUGUACCAACUGGAUGAGCAGCGAACGGGUGAGUAACGCGUGGGGAAUCUGCCUUUGAGCGGGGGACAACAUCUGGAAACGAAUGCUAAUACCGCAUAAAAACUUUAAACACAAGUUUCAAGUUUGAAAGAUGCAAUUGCAUCACUCAAAGAUGAUCCCGCGUUGUAUUAGCUAGUUGGUGAGGUAAAGGCCCAACAAGGCGAUGAUACAUAGCCGACCUGAGAGGGUGGUCGGCCACAAUGGGACUGGGACAAGGGCCAAACUUCUACGGGAGGCAGCAGUAGGGAAUCUUCGGCCAUGGACGAAAGUCUGACCGGGGAACGCCGCGUGAGUGAAGAAGGUUUUCGGAUCGUAAAACUCUGUUGGUAGGGAAGAACGUUGGUGAGAGUGGAAAGCUCAUCAAGUGACGGUAACUACCCAGAAAGGGACGGCUAACUACGUG